AACGAACGCUGGCGGCAGGCCUAACACAUGCAAGUCGAACGCUCUAGCAAUAGAGAGUGGCAGACGGGUGAGUAACGCGUGGGAACCUUCCCAAUGGUGCGGAAUAGCCCAGGGAAACUUGGGGUAAUACCGCAUAAGCCCUUAGGGGGAAAGAUUUAUCGCCAUUGGAUGGGCCCGCGUCGGAUUAGCUAGUUGGUGAGGUAAUGGCUCACCAAGGCAACGAUCCGUAGCUGGUUUGAGAGAAUGACCAGCCACACUGGGACUGAGACACGGCCCAGACUCCUACGGGAGGCAGCAGUGGGGAAUCUUGGACAAUGGGCGCAAGCCUGAUCCAGCCAUGCCGCGUGAGUGACGAAGGCCUUAGGGUUGUAAAGCUCUUUUGCCGGGGACGAUAAUGACGGUACCCGGAGAAUAAGUCCCGGCUAACUUCGUGCCAGCCGCCGCGGUAA
rnacentral:rRNA from 1 species